AGGAGUCUAACAUCUACGCGAGUGUUCGGGUGGCAAACCCGUACGCGCAGUGAAAGCGAACGGAGGUGGGAGCCUCUUGAGGGGCGCACCAUCGACCGAUCCUGAUGUCUUCGGAUGGAUUUGAGUAUGAGCGUAGCUGUGGGGACCCGAAAGAUGGUGAACUAUGCCUGAAUAGGGUGAAGCCAGAGGAAACUCUGGUGGAGGCUCGCAGCGGUUCUGACGUGCAAAUCGAUCGUCAAAUUUGGGUAUAGGGGCGAAAGACUAAUCGAACCAUCUGGGAGCUGGUUCCCGC
rnacentral:misc_RNA from 1 species